rnacentral:rRNA from 1 species
UACGGGGGGAGCAAGCGUUGUUCGGAUUUACUGGGCGUAAAGGGCGCGUAGGCGGCCAGCGCAAGUCAGUUGUGAAAUCUCCGGGCUUAACUCGGAACGGUCAACUGAUACUGCGCGGCUAGAGUGCAGAAGGGGCAACUGGAAUUCUCGGUGUAGCGGUGAAAUGCGUAGAGAUCAUGAGGAAGACCAGUGGCGAAGGCGGGUCUCUGGACAGUUCCUGACGCUGAGGCACGAAGGUCAGGGGAGCAAACGGG